rnacentral:rRNA from 1 species
AGCUUGCUUUUGAUGCUGGCGACCGGCGCACGGGUGAGUAACGCGUAUCCAACCUUCCCUAUAGUAGAGAAUAGCCCGGCGAAAGUCGGAUUAAUGCUCUAUGUUGUAUUUAGAAGACAUCUGAAGAAUACCAAAGGUUUACCGCUAUAGGAUGGGGAUGCGUCUGAUUAGGUAGUAGGCGGGGUAACGGCCCACCUAGCCGACGAUCAGUAGGGGUUCUGAGAGGAAGGUCCCCCACAUUGGAACUGAGACACGGUCCAAACUCCUACGGGAGGCAGCAGUGAGGAAUAUUGGUCAAUGGACGGAAGUCUGAACCAGCCAAGUAGCGUGCACGAUGACGGCCCUAUGGGUUGUAAACUGCUUUUAUAUAGGGAUAAAGUCGGGGACGUGUCCCCGUUUGUAGGUACUAUAUGAAUAAGGACCGGCUAAUUCCCGUGCCCGCAGCCGCGGUAAUACGGAAGGUCCAGGGCGUUUUCCCGGAUUUAUUGGGUUUAAAGGGAGCGCAGGCUGAUGAUUAAGCGUGACGUGAAAUGU